UGCAGCGUAGCUCAGUGGUAAGAGCACGGCUCUCAUAAAGCCGAGGUCGCCGGUUCAAGUCCGGCCGCUGCAACCA
rnacentral:tRNA from 1 species